rnacentral:lncRNA from 1 species
CCCAGACCCCACUAUGUGAGAAUAUACUGGGUUUGUUGUUGUUGUUGUUGUUGUUGUUUUGAGUAAUAUUCCCUCCGUUCCAUAUUAGUAUUCGUGUUUUGCUUUAUGAGAGUCAAGCUAAUUAAUCUUUCAAGUUAAAUUGGAUUAGAGUAAUUGAUUAAUAUUUUAAAAUUAUUAUUUAAAUAUUUAAAACUAUACGUGAAGUACUAUAUGUUACCGUUCUUAUAUCAAUAUGUUGUAAAACGUUGGUCAAAAUUCAUGUAGUCUAU